UGCAUAAUUUCCACUGGGGGAUAAUUCUGAGGGACACAUGUGUGCAAAAUCUGAGUGGUCUGGAAUUGUCUGGGCUGGAGAAGGGCUCCCCCCAUGGGAGGAAGGGGCCUGUGGCUGGCAGAGCCACCCAGGCUGACUGUCCCCCAACCCUCCGGCAUCUCAGGGUCCAGCCUGGGCUUCAGGAGAGCAGGCCUUAGAUCCUGGUCCCUCCAGCUUCCCACUUCCAGCUGUGUGGCCUUGAGUAGGUCCCUUCUACCCUCCGGGCUCCCAUGUCCUGGGCUUCAGAGGGUCAGAGGAUCGGAGGCCCCUUCCAGUCCCAGCCAUCCACCAAUGUCAUGUUUCUCAAAUUCCUCAGGCUGGUCUCCCCAGGCCUAGUCAAGCAAGUUUCACCCUCCUGAGAGCCGAAAAAAGACAGAUCCAGGAUCCCAUGGGGACAGCCCUGGCACAGCUGGACUUGAACCAGGGCCUACUAUGUGCUGGAGCACAGAGCAAGCAAGACAGACUGGGAAACCUGCUGUCACCCUCCAGUGUGACACGUGUGGUCUCGGGGCAAAUAGCAGCUGUGAGAGCCGGAGGAGGCCUCUGACCAGAGCGAGGACCAAGCUGCUUCAUUGCCAUUUUAUGGAUGAGAAAACUGAGGCUUAGAGAGAUACCACGAGGAACCAAGAGCCUCCCAGCUCCCUGCCCUUUCCCACUCCAAGGACCACAGUGUGGGAGCCGUGCCCAGGACAACUCCCUCCAUCUCGCCCCAUCCUGCCCGUGGCCAGGGAGGAUGGCGUUCCGGGAAUGUCUUUCUCCAGAGCCAGGCACCUCCCCAUCCCCGCUCCCGCUCCUGGCUCUGAGCCCACCCCUCGGCACUGCCCAUCCAUCUGCUGUCGCUUCCUGGCAGGGCCAGUGGGCCAUACAUCACCCGACGAAGCCUGAGGCAGCCCGGCAAAGCAGGGAUGCAGCAGUGAACAAAAUCCAGCACCAGACAAAAAAAGAAAGUCUACAGUGUGUUACGUUGUGGAAAGUGCAAACCAGGACAACAAGGCACGGCAGUGGGAGAACAGGUGUGGUUUAUGUUUUGUGUGUGUGUGAGUGUGUGUGUGUGUGUGUGGUUUUUUUAAGCAAGCAAGGCCAAGGAAAGCCUAUAAGAAGGUGACUUUUGAGUAAAGACCUGAAGGAGUGAAGGAUGAAGAUGUCUAGGGGGAGAGAAUUCCUGGUAGACAACACAGCAAGGGCAAAGGCCCUGAGGCAGGAGUGUGCCUGGCCCCCUGCCAGGUAAGGCAGCUGGAGGAGGAGGUGGGGGCAGAAAGGUGAGCAGAGAGGUACAUUGGUCUCCUGUGACUUUGGUGCUCCCUCAGAAGAUGGUGGAGGCCAUUGGAAGGCUGUGAGGGGACCAUGUCUUUGCUAGGAGAGUGACCAGUGAUAGUUUAGGGGACCAUUGGAAGGGGCAUAGGAUAGAGGCCUUCUUUCCAUGGUCUGUCUGUCCUUCCUCCCUCCCUUUUUUCUUUCUUUCUUUCCUUUAUUAAUUAAUCCAGUAAAUAUUUAUUGAGUGCCAGAUAGUCCUAGCCUUUCGUGAACUCAGUCCAAAGGACAUUCCACCCUGGCCCGUCCCCUACUUCAGGCACUUCACAAUGUCUGCCCCGCAUCCCUGGGGUGGGGCUGGGCCCCCUUCAGCCCCUUUCCAUGCUCCAGAGGGUCAGCUUGUGUGCCCCUCACAUAGGUGCAGAAUGGCAGCUGUGUGUGUCAAAUGUUGGUGUUCAGGGCUGGUGAGUCUCAGAUGCACAGAUGAGAUGCACGUGGAGCACACACAAGGAUGUCCCCUUCCCUCCCUGGGCCUCAGUUUCCCAUCUGAGAACUGAGCAGGGCGAGAAGACUUAAGACCUCUUUCUAUUCUAAAAUGGGGAUACAUGAUUAUCCAGAGCCCAGUGAUCCCGUGUGAGCACAGGGAAGGGCUGGGCUGGAGGGAGCUGCUCUACAUCUUUCUGUAGAAACUGAGUUUGAGCUUA